rnacentral:rRNA from 1 species
UAGCGGAGGAAAAGAAACCAACCGGGAUUGCCUUAGUAACGGCGAGUGAAGCGGCAAAAGCUCAAAUUUGAAAUCUGGUACCUUCGGUGCCCGAGUUGUAAUUUGGAGAGGGCAACUUUGGGGCCGUUCCUUGUCUAUGUUCCUUGGAACAGGACGUCAUAGAGGGUGAGAAUCCCGUGUGGCGAGGAGUGCGGUUCUUUGUAAAGUGCCCUCGAAGAGUCGAGUUGUUUGGGAAUGCAGCUCUAAGUGGGUGGUAAAUUCCAUCUAAAGCUAAAUAUUGGCGAGAGACCGAUAGCGAACAAGUACAGUGAUGGAAAGAUGAAAAGAACUUUGAAAAGAGAGUGAAAAAGUACGUGAAAUUGUUGAAAGGGAAGGGCAUUUGAUCAGACAUGGUGUUUUGUGCCCUCUGCUCCUUGUGGGUAGGGGAAUCUCGCAUUUCACUGGGCCAGCAUCAGUUUUGGUGGCAGGAUAAAUCCAUAGGAAUGUAGCUUGCCUCGGUAAGUAUUAUAGCCUGUUGGGAAUACUGCCAGCUGGGACUGAGGACUGCGACGUAAGUCAAGGAUG